rnacentral:rRNA from 1 species
UACGGAGGGGACUAGCGUUGUUCGGAAUUACUGGGCGUAAAGCGCGCGUAGGCGGAUUUGCAAGUCGGGGGUGAAAGCCCGAGGCUCAACCUCGGAACUGCCCUCGAUACUGCAAAUCUCGAGUCCGAGAGAGGUGAGUGGAAUUCCUAGUGUAGAGGUGAAAUUCGUAGAUAUUAGGAAGAACACCAGUGGCGAAGGCGGCUCACUGGCUCGAUACUGACGCUGAGGUGCGAAAGCGUGGGGAGCAAACAGG